rnacentral:rRNA from 1 species
AUUGAACGCUGGCGGCAGGCUUAACACAUGCAAGUCGAGCGGAGAUGAGGUGCUUGCACCUUAUCUUAGCGGCGGACGGGUGAGUAAUGCUUAGGAAUCUGCCUAUUAGUGGGGGACAACAUUCCGAAAGGAAUGCUAAUACCGCAUACGUCCUACGGGAGAAAGCAGGGGAUCUUCGGACCUUGCGCUAAUAGAUGAGCCUAAGUCGGAUUAGCUAGUUGGUGGGGUAAAGGCCUACCAAGGCGACGAUCUGUAGCGGGCCUGAGAGGAUGAUCCGCAACACUGGGACUGAGACACGGCCCAGACUCCUACGGGAGGUAGCAGUGGGGAAUAUUGGACAAUGGGCGGAAGCCUGAUCCAGCCAUGCCGCGUGUGUGAAGAAGGCCUUUUGGUUGUAAAGCACUUUAAGCGAGGAGGAGGCUACCUGGAUUAAUACUCUAGGAUAGUGGACGUUACACGCAGAAUAAGCACCGGCUAACUCUGUGCCAGCCGCCGCAGUAACAC